AGCGAACGCUGGCGGCAGGCCUAACACAUGCAAGUCGAACGAAGUCUUCGGACUUAGUGGCGGACGGGUGAGUAACACGUGGGAACGUGCCUUUAGGUUCGGAAUAACUCAGGGAAACUUGUGCUAAUACCGAAUGUGCCCUUCGGGGGAAAGAUUUAUCGCCUUUAGAGCGGCCCGCGUCUGAUUAGCUAGUUGGUGAGGUAAAGGCUCACCAAGGCUACGAUCAGUAGCUGGUCUGAGAGGAUGACCAGCCACAUUGGGACUGAGACACGGCCCAAACUCCUACGGGAGGCAGCAGUGGGGAAUCUUGCGCAGUGGGCGAAAGCCUGACGCAGCCAUGCCACGUGAAUGAUGAAGGUCUUAGGAUUGUAAAAUUCUUUCACCGGGGACGAUAAUGACGGUACCCGGAGAAGAAGCCCCGGCUAACUUCGUGCCAGCAGCCGCCGUAAAAC
rnacentral:rRNA from 1 species